AUGUGCCAUUUAGUUUUAUGUGUAACUGUGCGUUUCCGUGGGUCUAUGUGGUUAUAUGUUAGUGCGUGUGGACUCAGACAUUUCUUCAAAAACGUGCCAUGUAUACAGUGCUCCGUACUUUAUAG
rnacentral:lncRNA from 1 species